AAUCAACGAACCUAGAAGUCAAUAGAUGAGCAAACUGAGGCUGAGAACAAUCAAGGAAUCUGCUCCGGGUCACAGUGAAGUUUAUUUAUUUUGAAAGAGAG